rnacentral:lncRNA from 1 species
GCGCCGGCGCAGGCGCAGAGAGACACAACGACGUCUACUUUGUUCCUUGGGUUACACAUUUCCUGAGAGUAUCUACAUAUUCAUAGGCAACACCGAUGUGAAUGUGACAGAUUAGCUCCAGAAAGAAAGCAGUGUGAAAAAGAUGAAACACAGAUUUGAAAGCAAUCUUGAAGAUCAGACAGAAAACCAGCCUAUGAAUCAAAGAAGAAAAUCAAAAUCAGACUUCAUAACUGCUUCAGUAACCCUUGGCAACAGACAACACACUGGAUUUUGGCGAAUAACACUAAAAUUUUUGCUGGUGAGGUCUUCAGAAACUGGAUAGAUGUGAAACCACCAGAACAGAAGUGGAGCGGGCAUGGUAUCUGUUUCUUCAAUUUGUAGUUUUAUAGUCAAAAACUGGCAUGUAUAUACUUAAUUGGUAACAUGUAAGUCACGUGCCUCUAUCCCAACUCUAAGAGAGGUUGAGAACUUAAUUUCUGGCUUCUACCUUGGGAAGGAUCAGGCUUAUAAGCUGGAAAAUUAGCCAACAUACACAGGAUAUUCAAAGCUUCUAGGCAGUCAAAAUACUGUCAAGUGGUAAAACAGACAUGAAAAAACCUUUUUUUCUCUCCUAAAUUUAAAAAAAUAUAAUUUUUGUAAAACACUGUAUGUGGCUUUCCAUAAAAUUAAAAGAGUCUUGGGAGAGAGAACAUCUCAAAAAAAAAAAAAAAAAAAAAA